rnacentral:rRNA from 1 species
GACGAACGCUGGCGGCGUGCUUAACACAUGCAAGUCGAACGGAAAGGCCCUGCUUUUGUGGGGUGCUCGAGUGGCGAACGGGUGAGUAACACGUGAGUAACCUGCCCUUGACUUUGGGAUAACUUCAGGAAACUGGGGCUAAUACCGGAUAGGAGCUCCUGCUGCAUGGUGGGGGUUGGAAAGUUUCGGCGGUUGGGGAUGGACUCGCGGCUUAUCAGCUUGUUGGUGGGGUAGUGGCUUACCAAGGCUUUGACGGGUAGCCAGCCUGAGAGGGUGACCGGCCACAUUGGGACUGAGAUACGGCCCAGACUCCUACGGGAGGCAGCAGUGGGGAAUAUUGCACAAUGGGCGGAAGCCUGAUGCAGCAACGCCGCGUGCGGGAUGACGGCCUUCGGGUUGUAAACCGCUUUCGCCUGUGGCGAAGCGUGAGUGACGGUAAUGGGUAAAGAAGCACCGGCUAACUACGUG